GUGCCAGCCGCCGCGGUAAUACGAAGGGGGCUAGCGUUGCUCGGAAUUACUGGGCGUAAAGGGCGCGUAGGCGGCCCUGCAAGUCAGGCGUGAAAUUCCCGGGCUCAACCUGGGGGCUGCGCUUGAGACUGUGGGGCUAGAGGCCGAGAGAGGGUGGUGGAAUUCCCAGUGUAGAGGUGAAAUUCGUAGAUAUUGGGAAGAACACCGGUGGCGAAGGCGGCCACCUGGCUCGGUACUGACGCUGAGGCGCGACAGCGUGGGGAGCAAACAGGAUUAGAUACCCGAGUAGUCC
rnacentral:rRNA from 1 species